ACAAUGGGGGAAACCCUGAUGCAGCCAUGCCGCGUGUAUGAAGAAGGCCUUCGGGUUGUAAAGUACUUUCGGUAGUGAGGAAGUUGUGUGUAUGAAAAGUGCAUGCAGUUGACGUUAGCUACAGAAGAAGCACCGGCUAACUCCGUGCCAGCAGCCGCGGUAAUACGGAGGGUGCGAGCGUUAAUCGGAAUGACUGGGCGUAAAGGGCAUGUAGGCGGAUAAUUAAGUUAGGUGUGAAAGCCCCGGGCUCAACCUGGGAAUUGCACUUAAAACUGGUUAUCUGGAGUAUUGUAGAGGAAGGUAGAAUUCCACGUGUAGCGGUGAAAUGCGUAGAGAUGUGGAGGAAUACCGGUGGCGAAGGCGGCCUUCUGGACAGAUACUGACGCUGAGAUGCGAAAGCGUGGGGAGCAAACAGGAUUAGAUACCCUGGUAGUCCACGCUGUAAACGAUGUCGAUUUGGAGUUUGUUGCCCUGAGUGAUGGGCUCCGAAGCUAACGCGAUAAAUCGACCGCCUGGGGAGUACGGCCGCAAGGUUAAAACUCAAAUGAAUUGACGGGGGCCCGCACAAGCGGUGGAGCAUGUGGUUUAAUUCGAUGAUACGCGAGGAACCUUACCAGGGCUUAAAUGGGAAUUGACGUACUUAGAAAUAAGUAUUUCUACGGACAAUUUUCAAGGUGCUGCAUGGUUGUCGUCAGCUCGUGCCGUGAGGUGUCAGGUUAAGUCCUAUAACGAGCGCAACCCUUAUCAUUAGUUGCCAGCGAUUAAAGUCGGGAACUCUAAUGAGACUGCCGGUGCAAACCGCGAGGAAGGUGGGGAUGACGUCAAAUCAUCACGGCCCUUACGCCCUGGGCCACACACGUGCUACAAUGGCCGGUACAGAGGGCAGCUACUGGGCAACCAGAUGCGAAUCUCAAAAGCCGGUCUCAGUUCGGAUUGGAGUCUGCAACUCGACU
rnacentral:rRNA from 1 species